AAUACAUAUCAAUAAGCGGAGGAAAAGAAACCAACAGGGAUUGCCCUAGUAACGGCGAGUGAAGCGGCAACAGCUCAAAUUUGAAAUCUGGCGUCUUUGGCGUCCGAGUUGUAAUUUGCAGAGGGCGCUUUGGCAUUGGCAGCGGUCCAAGUUCCUUGGAACAGGACGUCACAGAGGGUGAGAAUCCCGUACGUGGUCGCUAGCCUUUACCGUGUAAAGCCCCUUCGACGAGUCGAGUUGUUUGGGAAUGCAGCUCUAAAUGGGAGGUAAAUUUCUUCUAAAGCUAAAUACUGGCCAGAGACCGAUAGCGCACAAGUAGAGUGAUCGAAAGAUGAAAAGCACUUUGGAAAGAGAGUUAAAAAGCACGUGAAAUUGUUGAAAGGGAAGCGCUUGCAGCCAGACUUGCCUGUAGUUGCUCAUCCGGGUUUUUACCCGGUGCACUCUUCUAUAGGCAGGCCAGCAUCAGUUUGGGCGGUUGGAUAAAGGUCUCUGUCAUGUAACUCUCUUCGGAGAGAACUUAUAGGGGAGACGACAUGCAACCAGCCUGGACUGAGGUCCGCGCAUCUGCUAGGAUGCUGGCGUAAUGGCUGUAAGCGGCCCGUCUUGAAACACGGACCAAGGAGUCUAACAUCUAUGCGAGUGUUUGGGUGUCAAGCCCGAGCGCGUAAUGAAAGUGAACGGAGGUGGGAACCUUUCGGGGUGCACCAUCGACCGAUCCUGAUGUCUUCGGAUGGAUUUGAGUAAGAGCAUAGCUGUUGGGACCCGAAAGAUGGUGAACUAUGCUUGAAUAGGGUGAAGCCAGAGGAAACUCUGGUGGAGGCUCGCAGCGGUUCUGACGUGCAAAUCGAUCGUCAAAUUUGGGCAUAGGGGCGAAAGACUAAUCGAACUAUCUAGUAGCUGGUUCCUGCCGA
rnacentral:rRNA from 1 species